GCCGCCGCGGUAAUACGGAGGAUCCAAGCGUUAUCCGGAUUUAUUGGGUUUAAAGGGUGCGUAGGCGGUUUUAUAAGUUAGAGGUUAAAUGUCAGGGCUCAACUCUGGCCUGCCUCUAAUACUGUAGGACUAGAGAGUAGAUGCGGUAGGCGGAAUGUAUGGUGUAGCGGUGAAAUGCGUAGAGAUCAUACAGAACACCGAUUGCGAAGGCAGCUUACCAAACUAUAUCUGACGUUGAGGCACGAAAGCGUGGGUAGCAAACAGGAUUAGAUACCCC
rnacentral:rRNA from 1 species